AACUUUCAACAAUGGAUCACUUGGCUCUCGCAUCGAUGAAGAACGCAGCGAAAUGCGAUACGUAUUGUGAAUUGCAGAAUUCAGUGAAUCAUCGAAUCUUUGAACGCAACUUGCGCCCCUUGGUAUUCCGAGGGGCACACCCGUUUGAGUGUCGUGAAAAUCUCAAACUUCUCGGUUUCUUCUGGACACCGAAGGAGGCCUGGACUUUCGAGGCCUUUGCUGGCGUCUCUCGCCAGCUCCUCUCAAAGGAAUUUGUGGGGUCCUCGUUGCCGAUCCUCGCCGUGUGAUAAGAUGUUUCCAUGUCUUGGUUUAUGGCUCUGGUGCUUGUGGGACCCGCUUCUAACCGUCUCAACGAGACAACGGUCGAGCGUGUCGAACACUCUUGAACCCACGAACCCUUGACCUCAAAUCGGGUGAGACUACCCGCUGAACUUAAGCAUAUCAAUAAGCGGAGGCU
rnacentral:misc_RNA from 1 species